rnacentral:rRNA from 1 species
UUGCACAGAUGACGACCGGCGCACGGGUGCGUAACGCGUAUAGAACCUACCUUUUACAGGGGAAUAGCCUUUAGAAAUGAAGAUUAAUGCCCCAUGGUAUUGUAGACUGGCAUCAGUUUAUAAUUAAAGAUUUAUCGGUAAAAGAUGGCUAUGCGUCCUAUUAGUUAGUUGGUAAGGUAACGGCUUACCAAGACAUCGAUAGGUAGGGGGUCCUGAGAGGGAGAUCCCCCACACUGGUACUGAGACACGGACCAGACUCCUACGGGAGGCAGCAGUGAGGAAUAUUGGACAAUGGAGGCGACUCUGAUCCAGCCAUGCCGCGUGUAGGAAGAAUGCCCUAUGGGUUGUAAACUACUUUUAUACAGGAAGAAACACUGGUAUGUAUACCAGCUUGACGGUACUGUAAGAAUAAGGACCGGCUAACUCCGUGCCAGCAGCCGCGGUAAUACGGAGGGUCCGAGCGUUAUCCGGAAUCAUUGGGUUUAAAGGGUCCGCAGGCGGUCUAUUAAGUCAGAGGUGAAAUCCCAUAGCUCAACUAUGGAACUGCCUUUGAUACUGGUUGACUUGAGUCAUAUGGAAGUAGAUAGAAUGUGUAGUGUAGCGGUGAAAUGCAUAGAUAUUACACAGAAUACCGAUUGCGAAGGCAGUCUACUACGUAUGUACUGACGCUGAGGGACGAAAGCGUGGGGAGCGAACAGGAUUAGAUACCCUGGUAGUCCACGCCGUAAACGAUGGAUACUAGUUGUUGGGAUUUAUCUCAGUGACUAAGCGAAAGUGAUAAGU